UCCGAAGUCGAUCCGUGUAACUUUCUAAUGGAUGGUUCCAGGUUAAGAGACCUGUAAAAUCGCCUUAUAAUCGAUCUUAGUAAACAUAAUUUUAUGCUGAUUAUUAUGUAUUUUAAGUUUUUUUCCACCCGUUUCAUUCGCAGAAAUGUAAACAGAAUACGUAGUUUGUCGUCAAAUUUUCGGUUACACCUUACUGGUAUAAUUUUCUCUCUUUACACGCAAAAAAAAAUGCGGAUUUUUAAACGUUAUCAGCGUAAGUUUUUUACACGUAUUUCCGCGGAAACCAUCAUUAUAAUUCCGAGUACAUUCCUCGUAAAUGAUAUUGGCUUUCUAUGAUUAUAGACUGGCAGUCAAAAGAGUGGAAUUUAUUUAAAAACUGAGCAAGAGGGAAAAAAGACCCCUUGACAUUUGGAGGUGUACUUUGACUGUCAACACUACGAUUUGGGGGAAGGAAAAGAGAGAGAGAGAGAAAGUUGCGUGCUAUCGACGUUACGGGCAGUCUUUUGCCUCAUUCAUGCUUAAUUAACACUCUAAUGGGAAUGUUGCAUGACGUUCCGUGCUCCUGUAAUUACGGCUAUAAUUCAUAACAGUUGGCAGUAAGACUGGCGUUCCUAGAAAAGUCUACGUAUAGACUUCCAGGUCAGAAAAGCAUAGGUCACCCUCAACAGACGAGAAAAGCAUCUCGUGACCGCUUAAUUGUGACUGCUUAAGCUUUCUGGGAAAAUGGGAACAAUUAAUAUUACCGCUACACCUGUGGUGCGUUACGUGUUCUAACUAAAGUGAUCCCGUACGGAGAAAGAACAAAAAAGGCUUACAACUCGAUCACGUGAUCGGGACCAUUCACUCUUACGUAAGCGUUACGCACCGUAGAAACUUGCACGAAAUGAUGUGACCGGACUGCAAAUUAUUCGCUGUUCUUUUUAUAUAUAUAUAUUUAAAGGUUUUUAAUUCGUAAUUAGAUAAGAUUUUCACACGAAAAAGGGAUUAAAUUUUUCCAUUAUUAUGGGAGAUUUCUGCCGGUUCGGUGUCUGAAAAGAGGAAGGAAGAGAAAACAAAGCUCGGUAGAGAUCAAUCGUUACGCACCGUAGAGAAACACCAACGGGAAAUAUUGAAAGCAUCGAAUCGCAGGAAAGACAAUAGAUUCCUUUCGUGAGAACACAAUCCAUUGAUAAGAGCGCAUCCGUCCAUUAUUGUGGAUUUAACAAGGACACACCAAAAGGUCUGUCGAGUUAUAAAUAAAUAACUGUUUGAUCGUUGCAGGCGCAUACCGAUGUCGAUUCACAAUCGCUUUUACCACCAUAAAUUAAAAACAUUUAUUCAGGAAUAUCCUGUAAAUGCAUAGCGUUUUCCUGCAGAUAAAUUCGAUUGUAACGUUCCUAAUUGAAAUCGGUAACAUUUUCAGUAUUGUCUGUAACCUUUUGUUGCUUUUAUCCUCACGCCUGUAUACUCUAACUGUAACUCUGCUAGCUAUUCUUUCCUUUAUUUUAUUUUUAUCCUUCUUUCUUUUUGUGUUGUUUCUCGUAAUUAUCCUGUUUUCUCACUGCUAAUCAUCCUGAGAGGUUUGCAUGUUUUUGGUCGGUAAGGUUUUAACGGAUUAGUUUCAUUUUAUCUUCUUCACCUCGGAGGUAUCACUCCCCAUCAAAAAGAAGAAAAGCAAGGAAAGGGGAAAAAAGCGAGUAAACAAAUCUUUCUCCGGCAUAAGAAUGUUAAACGUGGAUGCAUUAGCUGUAAUUUCAUUGUCAGGAAUCGACUACAGGUGACUAUAAGAACUCCCAUGAAAUAUUUAAUGGAUACAGGAUACGCUCUUCUGUCUAAUGUCAUUCUAUAGCAACUUUUUGCAUUCCGCUCAGUUGAAGAGUAGGUUUUGACCCUGCACAGUACAACUGCUAUUAACUUCCUCUGUUGUUCAUCAAUAUUUGACACUCCUUUUAAUUAUGAAAGAUUCCACCAAUUUAUCUCCACAUCUCUCUCCACGUCGUUUCUUUGAUGUGUAAUUAUCUUUUAAAAUGACGUAAACAUUAUUUUUUUUUUUUUCAAAAUAAUCAUAAAUGCCGGCUCAUUUUUGCGUAAAAGGAAUCGACGUCUAUCUUACUCGGUUUUUUUAAGUAUUAUUUUUAAUUUAUGUGUGUCGAUAGCAAUAAGAAGUGGAUAUUUUUGUGUCGCUUCAUCAUCUACCUGUCGUGUUAGCCAAUGUCGUUUAGCUUGUCGAGAACAUUUCGUGUGUCUUUUUAUGUUUACACAGCGACGAUGGUCGUCUCUCUUUUCCAGCCUCGCAGCUUUCCAGCACGACUGUUUGUCUCCCAGGAGAAGUCUCACACAACUAUUCUAUUUAAUCUUUCCGAUAGAGAGAAAGACAGAGAAAAGGAAAAAAUAACUUGCUAAAUUUAACUAUUGUUUCUUAACUUCGAUUUUAAACUCACUCUCGCUUUCCGUUUUAUCCGGAAUCAUGCGAAAUUUGUAAAUUCCAACAUUAAAUUCAGGCAAUUAUUGUCAGAACAUAUUCCUAGUGGAGGAGAAACUGCAUAUUUUGGCGUUGGAAGUACAGUUAGUAGCAGUGUUUAAUUGGUAGCGGGAUUGAUGCGAAACGGCGAAAGAUUAUGUCAUCAUGGAAAGAGAUAAUGCUGCCAUUAGUACCCUCAAUUGAACACGUCGCAGAUGCCUUAUUUGUUGUCAAACAGCCGUCUCUCCUUCCCCUCUCCCUGCCUUAUGUUGCACGUUAUUGACUGGUCUCAAUGGGUUAAAGUGCCUCAUUAAUAUGGAACAGUGAUGCCCGCAGGCUCGGCUUCUCUCUCUCUCUUUCUCCACUCUCAAUUUCUGGUUCCGGCAAUCUCAACUUUUCACUCAUCCUGACGUCAUUCCUUUGUUGCAGAUGUCCUCGCACUCCUGAUUACACAUCUUUUAAUCGUUUAAACUACAUUUGCCCGUUUUGUUGCCCGAAGCACCUAUUACUCGAGUGGAAUUCAGUCCUUUUUACUGGCAAAUCUAAACAAGUGGUUUCUCAGUGGUUUCUCUCUAAUCUUUUAGCAUUUAGAAUGCAAAUAAUUUUUUUUUCUUUUCCUAAUAUAAAAAUUAAAUUUACUGCCGUAACGCGCACGGAAGAAGCGUAUAGAACGAGGAGGAAAAGGAGAGUCUCUGGUAAAAACAUUUUAAAACCGUUGCAUCACAGUAGAAAUCGAGAAAAGAACAUUCAAAUCAGUAACUGUAUCAUUACAAUCGCAGGAAUAAUCUAAUCGAUAUUAUCAAAGGAGAGCAUUCGCAGUUUUUCAUCCCUCUCCAUUGUCACUAACCUCUUUAUGGAUGGGUCUGAUUGACGGACAAAAUUAAUGACGUGGCUAUUUGCAUCGGAGGCGUCCCUUUUCCCUAAUCCUACGUCAUAUGAGAUUUACUCUCAGAGCAGGAGAUUUCGUAACAAGGAGGUAGCAGAUAGAUCAUUGUUCGUGGCCACAAAUGAUACCAAGAUUUGAGCCCUUCUCUCCUCUGUUUUAUUUUAUUUUUUUGCUUUUCUAGUCGCUUGAUACGUGCCAUUCGUCAGUCUUAUUUAAGCGCUAAGUGUCAGCAAAGAAAUAAUUGUCUUCCCACGAAUAGGAAUCCAUUAUUAUUAUUUUUUUUUAAUGCUUUGCACGCCGGAAACGUUCCGAUAUUCGAGCGUUUUAUCGUCAAAAACCGAUUUUUUUUUUUUUUUCUAUGGUUUCCAAGUCAAAAUUUAUCACUAAGUGGAUAUUAAGUUUAACAUAGUUUGAUAUAAAAAUUAUAAUGGAAAGUAGCCAUGACGAUUUUUCUUUAUUUUCAGUCGGAUGGAGGAAGUUUCGGAAUUUAUUAUAGACGAAGAAGAUUUCGUCGUUAU
rnacentral:lncRNA from 1 species